CGGGAGUUAAUCUACAAAUAUUGAAUGAUUGAAACUGUAUGUGAUAGAUGUGUUUCCGAGGAACAAAGUUAUCUUGGCGUGGAGAAUGAGAUUCAUUAAAGAAGUCUUUCAAAUUCUUAUGGAGAUAACAUGGCAUGUUACCUUGUAUUUUGUAAAACUACUUAUUAUCUAUGGGUCGUAUUUUGUUAUCAGAGAAAACUGCGUGUUCGCCAUUCACAUGUGAUAGACCUACUUAAAAUCAGUAAGUUUGCGGUAAUGGAAACGAACAUUUUCCAUAAUGUAAGGAAUAAUAUCUUAACCACCAAGCAUAUCAAAGUGGAUAUGACUGAAAUCAACAGAUGAAUAAGUGUGUCCUAGAACGACCCAGGAGAUGCUGAGGAACCGUAUCCCAUUCAAUGCAGUCAGUGUUCCAGGGGAAUGAUUUACUGCGAGAAGCUUCUUCCCAUUGGUGUAAGCAGAAAACGAAAGCAGUAACUUUUCCAAUGUCGCUGUUAAAUUCAUUUAGGAGGAUUAAUGUCAAUGAUACCUUAAAUUUACUUCAUCAAAACUUUUAAAUAUCAAAAAACCUUUGUUGAUAUAUUUUACUCACAUUUUUUUCUUUUGGAGACAUUUGUCAUUUCAUUCACCAGCUGAGGAUCUCCCUCGAAAUGUGCAAUUUCUAUAGAUUGAGUGGGCCCAGUCUUUGGUAUACCGGUGCAAUACGACCAUUGAUGGGAUAUCAAGUCAAACGUUGAGCUUAUCAAGAUGAUGACAGCAAAUACUCCGAGUAUGAUUCUGAUGAGGGUUUUUUUUUUAUAGUUAAGCAUUUCAGAUCCAAUAUAGAUAAACAUAUUUUGAAAUGACAAACAUCGGAGAUGAUUUUAAAAUGAUUUUCAUCGAUAAAUAAAUGAAGUUGACAACGAAAAAGAAUGUACCAAUGUUACCUGUAUGCAAAUAGUUUCGUAAUUAGCUAUUAAACAUAUGUAAUUUUC